rnacentral:rRNA from 1 species
CAGCAGCCGCGGUAAUACGUAGGUGGCAAGCGUUGUCCGGAAUUAUUGGGCGUAAAGGGCUCGCAGGCGGUUUCUCAAGUCUGAUGUGAAAGCCCCCGGCUCAACCGGGGAGGGUCAUUGGAAACUGGGAAACUUGAGUGCAGAAGAGGAGAGUGGAAUUCCACGUGUAGCGGUGAAAUGCGUAGAGAUGUGGAGGAACACCAGUGGCGAAGGCGACUCUCUGGUCUGUAACUGACGCUGAGGAGCGAAAGCGUGGGGAGCGAACAGGAUUAGAUACCCCAGUAGUCCCUGUCUCUUAUAC